rnacentral:rRNA from 1 species
UCAAUAAGCGGAGGAAAAGAAACCAACAGGGAUUGCUCUAGUAACGGCGAGUGAAGCAGCAAUAGCUCAAAUUUGAAAUCUGGCGUCUUCGACGUCCGAGUUGUAAUUUGUAGAGGAUGCUUCUGAGUGGCCACCGACCUAAGUUCCUUGGAACAGGACGUCAUAGAGGGUGAGAAUCCCGUAUGCGGUCGGAAAGGCGCUCUAUACGUAGCUCCUUCGACGAGUCGAGUUGUUUGGGAAUGCAGCUCUAAAUGGGAGGUAAAUUUCUUCUAAAGCUAAAUAUUGGCCAGAGACCGAUAGCGCACAAGUAGAGUGAUCGAAAGAUGAAAAGCACUUUGGAAAGAGAGUUAAAAAGCACGUGAAAUUGUUAAAAGGGAAGGGAUUGCAACCAGACUUGCUCGCGGUGUUCCGCCGGUCUUCUGACCGGUCUACUCGCCGCGUUGCAGGCCAGCAUCGUCUGGUGCCGCUGGAUAAGACUUGAGGAAUGUAGCUCCCUCGGGAGUGUUAUAGCCUCUUGUGAUGCAGCGAGCGCCGGGCGAGGUCCGCGCUUCGGCUAGGAUGCUGGCGUAAUGGUCGUAAUCCGCCCGUCUUGAAACACGGACCAAGGAGUCUAACAUCUAUGCGAGUGUUCGGGUGUCAAACCCCUACGCGUAAUGAAAGUGAACGGAGGUGAGAACCGCAAGGUGCAUCAUCGACCGAUCCUGAUGUCUUCGGAUGGAUUUGAGUAAGAGCAUAGCUGUUGGGACCCGAAAGAUGGUGAACUAUGCCUGAAUAGGGUGAAGCCAGAGGAAACUCUGGUGGAGGCUCGCAGCGGUUCUGACGUGCAAAUCGAUCGUCAAAUUUGGGUAUAGGGGCGAAAGACUAAUCGAACCAUCUAGUAGCUGGUUCCUG